CUGAGCUAGUGAUGAUACAGAGUUAUCCCUGUCUGAAAUGGAUCUCUUCGCUGUGGAAGCACAACUCUGAGGCUCAG